rnacentral:lncRNA from 1 species
UUUGUGAGGAUGUGGGUUUGAUACCUGGUCUCACUCAGUGGGUUAAGUAUCUGGCAUUAGCUCAAGCUGUGGUAUAGGUCACAGAGGUGGCUCAGAUCUGGCAUUGCUAUGGCUGUGGUGUAGGCCGGCAGUUGCAGAUCUAAUUCAAUCCCUAGCCCAGGAACUUCCAUAUACUGCAGGUGUGGCCGUAAAAAUAAAACAAAGUAAAAAAUAAAAAUAAAAACAUCUAUUUGCACUGUUGGCCUUUGACUAGCAUCCAGAAACUUGGGUUUAGAGAGUGUUCCCAUAUUCCUGAACAGAUAAGGGUGGUAUGCUGAACCUAAACACUUUGUGUGAACAAUACAGUUUGUGCUGGAUACCUGCUUUUUCCAGGGAGUCCAGAGUUUGAGUAUCUGCUAGGCAGAGUGUGCCUAUGUGAUGAGCACUGAUAAAAAUCCUGGGCCCUGAGUCUCCAAGCAUAUUCCCUGGAAGAUAAUAUCUCACACAUAAUGUUACCACUCGUUGCAACCCAGUGCAUUCCUUGUGACUCCACUGAGAGGAAACUCUUGGAAGCCCAGGCCUGGUUUCCUCUGGACUUUACCCAACCUUGCACACAACAGAUGUUUCUAAGUCUAGACAACUCAGCUCAAACCUAUGGUUGAGCCUUUACCACACAGGUGGUCUCUUCCUGGUAUUGUGUGGGUUAUUAAUAUUUUGUCUGAUUUUAUUAAUUUUGAGCAACAAAUAAGGAAAAGUAGAAGCAAUGAAUCCUCUUGAAUUCCCAUGAGUAAACAUUUUAAAUAGUUACUAGGGUGGUUUCAGAAGUACAUAUACAUAUAUAUUUGCUAUAGGUCACAGUUAGACUUGCAGCAAUUUUUUCUACUCAACUCCCGCACAUUUCAUAAGAAAAUUAAGUUUGCUUCAGAAUAUAUUCUGUUUCCUCUUUGCUGAUUUUGCUUUGUAGGCUUUUGCUGUGGUAAAUCAUACCCUGAACAUAUGCUAAGUCCUGUGUGUCUUUCUAAUAAAUCACUGAACCUAUGGUGGUGGGGGGGGACCUCUGACUAUUGGGAUAAUAAUAGUUAAAAAAAUAACCUGCAUAAUCUGACUAAUAUCAUUGGAUGGCUAGGUAUAGUCUGUUAAUGAAUCAGAUUUUCUGCUACUUAAAAAAUUUCUAUGUUAAAGAACAACACUUUGGAGAAUAUGUCAAAAAGUCAAGAGAUUUUUUUUUAUUCUCUGUUUUUUAAUUGAAGUAUAGUUGAUUUACAAUGUUUUGCUAGUUUCAGGUAUACAGUAAUAUGAUUCAGUUAUAUAUAGAAAAGUAUAUAGAUACAUAGAAAUAAAAAAAUGAUAGAAAGGUAAAUAGAAAGAAAAAUAUACAGAUAUAGAUAGAUGAUAGAUAGACAGGUAGAUAGAUAAAGUAGACAUUCUUUUUCAAAUUCUUUUCCCUUAUAGGUUAUAACAAGAUAUUGAGUAUAGUUCUCUAUACUACAUAGUAGGAAGUUGUUUAUUUUAUAUAUAGCAGUGUGUAUAUAUUAAUCCUAAACUCCAAAUUUAUCUCUUCCCUGCCCAUUUCCCCUUUGGUAACCAUAAGUUUAUUUUCUAUGUCUGUGGGUCUAUUUCUAUUUUGUAAAUAAUAUCAUUUGCAUCAUUUUUUUAGACUCCGCAUAUAAAUGAUAUCCUAUGGUAUCUGUCUUUUUCUGUCUGGCUUACUUUACUUAGCUGGUAAGUGACCAUAUUGCCAAUGAGCAGUUUGGGGAGGGGGCUGCAGUGGGACAGACUAUAAAGGAAGGGACAGACUCUCCCCUGUGAUUUAGAGUUCUCAGUCCAGUUGGACAUUCUUCCAGGCUCCAGUUUACUAAUCUAAGAUGACACCACUGGGAGGAUUCACAUCAACACAAAAAUGUGUUUGUGUAAAUCUUCCCAAGCCUGGCUAAGGAUUAAAUGAAAGCCUCUCUAUGAAUCUCAAAAUAGCUGUGCCAACUUUUAACUUCGCACACAGGGAUGCUACUGUACUCUUUAAGCACUUGGAUAAACACAAUCUCUCAUACAUAUCAAACACUUCUUUCAAGCACCUUUCUUUAACCAUCUCUCCUCUUAUCUCCAGGUGGCAUGGAGUUCACAGUCAGAAGCUUUUUUGAAGGACAAGAACAAAAUACAUUUCAAAAUCUAUAGGACAGCAGAAAGAAAUGAAUUUUUUUCCUCAUGGCUAUUACAUUUCAAUAAGUAUGGGAUAAAAAGGAAAAAUAUACACAUAUCCCAGUGACCUGAUCUACAGAAUAAUGUAAAGCAAAACUGACUCCUACAUUUACUUCAUGCCUAUCCCAAAAUAUCAGGGAAAUGACAAAGAUAUUUGAAAACAAAUCCAAAAUUGUGUUGGAAAAAAAGGAAGGGUGUUAUCAGCAGGUGACAAUAGACAGUGGAGAAACAUACAUGCCAAUAUAGGGAGAGUCAGAGGCUCAUCAGAGAUGUUGGCUGAUGUGUUUGGGAAAUCGUUGGGUGAGUGAUGCUCACAAUACAGUACACUGAGCCCUAAUUCUACCGCCACUGGGAAGGAAGCUCUGAAGACUGAAAGCUCCAGUCUAGCUUUAACAGUAAUGAAACCAGCAUUUUAUGUGGGUUUUUUGUUGUUGUUGUUAAAGAAUAGUUGAUUUAUGAUAUUGUGCCCAUUUCUGCUAUACAGCAAAGUGACCCAGUCAUACAUAUACAUACAUUAUUUUUCUCAUAUUAUUUUCCAUCAUGUUCUAUCCCAAGAGACUGGAUAGAGUUCCCAGAGCUAUAUAACAGGACCUCAUUGCUUAUCCAUUCUAAAUGUCAUAGUUUGCUUGUACCAACCCCAAACUCCCUGUCCAUCUUACUCCCUUCUCCCUGCCCUUUGGCAACCAGAAGUUUGUUCUCUAUGCCUGUGAGUCUGUUUCUGUUCUGUAGAUAGGUUCAUUUGUCCCCUAUUUUAUAUUCUACAUAUAAGUGACAUAAAUCAUACAUGUACCCUUAUGCUCAGAGCAGCGCUAUUCAUAAUAGCCAAAACAUGGAAGCAACCUAAAUGUCCAUCAACAGAAGAAUGGAUUAAGAAGAUGUGGGCCAAAUAUAUAAUGGAAUAUUAUUCAGCCAUAAAAAGGACAAAAUAAUGCCAUUCUCAUUAUCCAGCAACAUGGACGCAACUAGAGAUUCUCAUACUAAGUGAAGUAAAUCAGAAAGAAACAAAUAUUUUAAACAAACAAAUUUAACUUUUUCAUAGAUUCCUUUCAUUUGAAACCUGUAGAAAGAAUCAAUGCAGCUGGUGGUACUCAGACCGUCUCUGUGUUUUACUUGGAGCCCCAUGCAGCCUGACACUCACAAGAGAAGUAUAGUAAAUGCUAAGCUACUGACAAAAGAACCUUAAUUCUUUCAUCAACCCUUCAAAAAUGGUCACAAUUUAACUUUUAUAUGAUUGAUGUCUCAUAUGGAGAUGGCCAGGCCAUAGCUUACAAAACACUUUUCUAAACUGUUUUAAGCACAUGAUUAGCUUAUAUGUUAAAAAAAAAAAAAAAAAGAAAGAAAGAAAAAAAAAUCACUCUAUGGAGUUCCCGUCAUGGUGCAGCAGAAACCAAUCCAACUAGGAACCAUGAGGUUGCGGGUCCCAUCCCUGGCUUCGCUCAGUGCAUUAAGGAUCCAGAAUUGCCGUAAGCUGUGGUGUAGGUCACAGACAUGGCUUGCAUGUGGUGUUGCUGUGGCUCUGGCAUAGGCCAGCAGCAACAGCUCCAAUUAGACCCCUACCCUGGGAACCUCCAUAUGCCACAG